UUGACUUCUAAUCUUCAUUUCUCUUCUGUUUAGCAUUGGUUGAUGAUGAUUUGAUUGACUUUUGACCAAUUGCAUUUGAUACUUUAUUUGUCUUUCCAUUCAUUUCAUCUUCAUCUCAUUUUCUUUUUAUUUUGGCCAAUGGGUUAAUGUCUUAUGGUUGGUUUUGACAUAUGAGAGGCUUAACCUUCUUUGAUCCAAAUCAAACUCAACUUGAUCCAAGAUGAAGUGAGUUGCUUUGUGUCCAAGAUAGGUUGCUUCUUGGUCAAGCAAAAAACCUAAAGUCC
rnacentral:lncRNA from 1 species